rnacentral:rRNA from 1 species
UUAGGAGUUUGAAUCCUGGCUCGGGACGAACGCUGGCGGCGUGCAUAAUACAUGCAAGUCGGAGCGGGAACGAUUCGAAAGCUUGCUUUUGAAUCGUUAGCGGCGGACGGGUGAGUGAACACGUGGGCAACCUGCCCUGUAGACGGGGAUNACACCGAGAAAUCGGUGCGUAAUACCGGAUNACACGAAAUGUCGCAUGACGUUUCGUUGAAAGGACGGCGCAAGCUGUCGCUACAGGAUGGGCCCGCGGCGCAUUAGCUAGUUGGUGAGGUAACGGCUCACCAAGGCGACGAUGCGUAGCCGACCUGAGAGGGUGAUCGGCCACACUGGGACUGAGACACGGCCCAGACUCCUACGGGAGGCAGCAGUAGGGAAUCUUCCGCAAUGGACGAAAGUCUGACGGAGCAACGCCGCGUGAGCGAAGAAGGCCUUCGGGUCGUAAAGCUCUGUGUUAGGGGAAGAACAAGUAACGUAGUAACUGGCGAAUACUGUGACGGUACCUGACGGGGGAGCCACGCAAAGAUUG